rnacentral:lncRNA from 1 species
UCGUGCGCGUCGAAGCAGUGCCCCGUCGCGGCGUACGUCGCCUCCAUCGCCAGCAGCUCCGUUGAGACGUCGAAGUCGUGGUACUCCGUGUGGUUCGCCAUCCAGUCCUCGAGCGUGUCCAUCUUGGACGCGUCCUUGCCGAGGUAGUCCACGAUGUCCUUCGGGACGCCGCAGUUGGCGACGAGCGCGUCGCCGUCCUUCACGCCGCCGUGCUUCUCGAGCACCUUGCCGAACCCCGGCGGCAGCUCGCCGACGUCGCGGCACAGCUCCGGAGGCCCGGAGGAAUUGGACAUUUGCAUCGCCUCGACGUGGACGUCGUUCGCGGUGUGCUGGAGCGCCAUCGCGGCCGCCUCGAGCGCGCGCUUGUCGUCCGCCGCGGAUUGAAUCUCCGCGCUCUUCGCCGCGCGAACGGCGGCGAGCGCGGCGUCGACGACGCGCGUCGCCUCCUUGGUCGCCGCGCUCAUGAUCUUCUCCGCCUCGGCGAGCGCGGCGGCGAGCUUGGCUCGCGCGGCCGUCGUCGCCGCGACCGCGGCUUGGUGCUUCUCCUGCGCCUCUUUCGCGGCUUUCACGCGGUCAGCCAUGAAGUGGAAGUCGGGCGUCGUCCCGUCGCCUCCGGUCGUCGCGCCGGGGCCGUGGUUCAUCAUGGCGUGGAUGGCCUCUAUCCCCGGCGCGGCGUCGCCGUCGUCGUGGUCGUGGUCGUGGUCGUGGUCGUGGUCGUGGUCGUGGUCGUCGUCGCCGAGAUUCGCAUCCUUCGGCACCGCCGCUUGCUCGUGCCACUUGGACGCGUGCGUGAACGCCGCGGCGACGGCUUCCUCCGCCGCCUCCGCGGCGGUCGCGGCGUGAGACUCCGCCGCCUUCGCGGCGUCGAGCUCCGUUUGCGCGGCGUGGACGAUCUUCGUCGCGUUCGCCUUCGCCUCCAUUAUGAUCUUCUUCGCGCGUUGUCUCGCGGGGGCAACAUUCUCCUUCGCCGAGACGAGCGCCGCGUCCGCGGCUUCGUACGCCUUUUGCGCCGCGUCCGCGGCGGCGAUGUCUUGGGCCUCGUCGCGCUUGAGCUCGACGCCCGUCGCGCGCGCGACGUCGGCGGCGCUGAGCGUCGUCGCGUUGGCGUCGGCGGGCGCUUCGACCGGCGCCGGAGGGGCCGGCGUCGGCGUCUCCGUCGGCGUCUCCGUCGGCGUCUCCGCCGCGGGCGCUUCGUCGCCGCCGCCGUGGUUCUUCAACCUCGCGAAGAACCUCGUGCACGCCGCGGACGUGCACGCCGCCGUGUCGUCUUCGCACUUGACCGCCGCGUGUCCGUCGAUCUCGAGGAACUUGGCGCAGUCCGCCUCCUCGUCGGUGAGUCCCGGGAAGUGGAGUUUCGUGAACGCGCGCGGGUCCGUCGGCUCGUCGUCGUCGUGGUCGUGGUCGUGGUCGUGGUCGUGGUCGUGGUCGUUGUCGUGGUGAUCGUCGUGGUCGUCGUCGGAGACGUGGUCGUCCUCCUCGUGGCACUUGCCGGUCGCCUUCCACGCGCGCUCCAUCUCCUUGAGCUCCGUGCUCGCGUCGAAGUCGUGGUACGCCCUGUGGUUCGCCAUCCAGUCCCCGAGCGUGUCCAUCUUGGACGCGUCCUUGCCGAGGUAGUCCACGAUGUCCUUCGGGACGCCGCACUUUUCGAUGAAGCGGACGCCGUGAUCGAUGUCGCCGAUCUCCUCGAGCUUCGCGCCGAACCCGUCGGGGAGCAUCGCCGGCUCGCGCACGAGAGCGGGCAUGUGAUCGUCCGCGGGCACGGGCGCGGGCUCGGGCACGGGCGUGGGCACGGGUUCGACCAACGGCGCGGGCGCGGGCUCGGGCGCGGGCUCGGGCUCGUCCACGUCCACGUCCACGUCCGCGUCCGGGGCGGAGUCCAAGGGUUCCGCGGCGACGUCGUUGUCAUGAGUCGCGAGCUCGUCCAUGGAUUGCGUGGUGAGUUCGUCCGCCGCGGCCUCGGUGGCGUCCGGCGCGGGGGCCGGAUCCGUCUCCACGUCUGAGGUGGUCGUCUCCACGUCCGGGGUGGUCGUAUCCACGUCUGAGGUGGUCGUCUCCACGUCCGGGGUGGUCGUCUCCACGUCCGGGGUGGUCGUCUCCACGUCCGGGGUGGUCGUCUCCACGUCCGGGGUGGUCGUCUCCACGUCCGGGGUGGUCGUCUCCACGUCCGGGGUGGUCGUCUCCACGUCCGGGGUGGUCGUCUCCGCGACGACGUCCGGGGUGGUCGUCGUCGGGGGCAGAUCGCUCGUCAUCGCCGCCGCGAUCUGCGCGUCC